rnacentral:lncRNA from 1 species
AUGCUGGGCUCAAGCUGGUUCUUGGCAGGGCUGGGGUCGAGGGUCCUGGAGAGACUUUGAGAUCUCCCACUUGAGAGCUAGGCCAGAUUGGUCCACUUUCUGGGCUCUGCUGGAAGGCAAAACAUCAACCCAUACCGACACCAAUAAUAACUGUCCCUCCCUCCCAGGAGUACUGUACCCUGCAGCUUACAAAGCACUUUUCUUGCCACUACCUCAUUUGAUCCUCACAAACUUGGUGUUAUUGCCAUUUGACAGAUGAGAAAACAGAUGGUCAGAGAAGCUAAGUCACUAGUACAGGGUACCAGAACUAAGAGGAUAUGCCAGUACUUGGACCCAGUAGCCCAUACAUGUUUUAGGAAAAGUUUCUUGGGUCUCGUGGGUCCCCUGGAUCUGAAUCACCCAGAAAAGACAGCCCUUCCGAUGCUUGAAUACGGGGCCCUGAAUUUCCAUCAGGUUUCCUAACUUUGGAUAUUAGAGCAGGAGGGCUAAAUCUCCCACUGUACAGAUGGGAAAACUGAGGUGUGGAGAAGAGAAGAGUCUUGCCCAAGUCCAUAAGCCAGAUAAGAUCCUGGCCUCCAUCCCCUAGGCUCUCAGAUGAAGUUCCUGGGACUUUCACAGCUCUCUCUCCUCCUGGCAACAGGGAGGCCUGUGUCUGGGGACAGUGGGAGGAACAGUUUAGGGCAAGAAUCCUCCAAAUCGAAGAGGGAGCCUGGCAGAGGUGGGGAGGGGUUAGCCUUAGAAAAUGCACUUUGCCUUUAGGCCUUAUUUCCUAAGAGAGAGAUGUGUCACUAAAGCAAGGAGGAGCUGGUGGCGACUUUUAAUUUUGUUUUGUUUUCCACCAUUUGCUUUUCCAGGCAGGAGGACUGCAGAGGUGCUGAGCCAAUCCCUCUCCAGGCCUGCUCCGCUUGGGGCGCAGGGGCCUGUGAGUCUAGGGCUGAGCCAGGGCCUGUGUGCAGAUGGAGGUGAGAGUGUUUUCUGUGGCCUAUCAGAGCCCAACCCAGAACCAGGGUGGGGCUCUGUCUGGGCCUGGGUGGAGAUCUUUUGUCACCGGGCUCAGGCCCAGUUUGUGACCAGGGUCAGGGCUCAUCCUGAGAUCAGGGAACGGGGAGAAGCAGCCCUUCCAGGACAGACCCAGCCCAGGAUUCCAACUCCAAGAUGCUUCACAUUUACUCCAGCUACACGGCCACCCGUUCUCUUCUGGAAGCCUGCUCCUGCCCCUACGUCUUGGAGCCCACAACUGACCCCUGAUCUCUGCGCAUCUGGCUGCUCAUCCUUCCAGCCUCAGCCCGAAGAGGCCUCCCCUGACCUCUCCCUCUGAAGGGCUCCUCUCUCUGUUUCGGCCCUCUCACAUUUCAGGCCCUGCAGUUGCCUCAUCUAUGGAUGUGUUACCGGUUUGACUCUCUUCCCCACUAGAUUGUAAGCCCCAUGGGCCAGGGACCUCAUCCUCUGCUAUAUUGGCACCUGGUUGGUGCCGAAUAAAUGGAUAUGGAAUCAAUGAAUAGAUGUCCA